CGUCGCUUAGUGGUAUCACGUCCGGCUGGAGUGCCAGAGACAGUGGGAUCAAUCCCGG
rnacentral:tRNA from 1 species